UACGAGUGCCUCAAGCGUUAUCCGGAAUCAUUGGGCGUAAAGGUUGUGUAGGUGGUUGUAUUAGUCUUCUGUUAAAUUCUUCGGCUUAACCGGGGGCAUGCAGGGGAAACGGUACGACUAGAGGAUGCGAGGGGUCUGUGGAAUUCAUAGUGUAGCGGUAAAAUGCGUUGAUAUUAUGGAGAACACCAAAAGCGAAGGCAGCAGACUGGAGCACUCCUGACACUGAAGCAAGAAAGCGUGGGUCGCGAAUGGG
rnacentral:rRNA from 1 species